rnacentral:rRNA from 1 species
GAUGAACGCUAGCGAUAGGCUUAACACAUGCAAGUCGAGGGGCAGCACAAGGUAGCUUGCUAUCUGGGUGGCGACCGGCGCACGGGUGCGUAACGCGUAUGCAACUUGCCCUAUACAGGAGGAUAACCCGUCGAAAGACGGACUAAUACUGCGUAUGCUCACAACUUGGCAUCAAGUGGUGAGGAAAGAAAUUCGGUAUAGGAUAGGCAUGCGUCCCAUUAGCUUGUUGGUGAGGUAACGGCUCACCAAGGCAGCGAUGGGUAGGGGAACUGAGAGGUUUAUCCCCCACACUGGUACUGAGACACGGACCAGACUCCUACGGGAGGCAGCAGUGAGGAAUGUUGGUCAAUGGGCGCGAGCCUGAACCAGCCAAGUCGCGUGAAGGAUGACUGUCUUAUGGAUUGUAAGCUUCUUUUAUACGGGAAUAACAAGAGUCACGUGUGACUCCCUGCAUGUACCGUAUGAAUAAGCAUCGGCUAACUCCGUG